rnacentral:rRNA from 1 species
GACGAACGCUGGCGGCGUGCUUAACACAUGCAAGUCGAACGGAAAGGCCCUGCUUUUGUGGGGUGCUCGAGUGGCGAACGGGUGAGUAACACGUGAGUAACCUGCCCUUGACUUUGGGAUAACUUCAGGAAACUGGGGCUAAUACCGGAUAGGAGCUCCUGCUGCAUGGUGGUGGUUGGAAAGUUUCGGCGGUUGGGGAUGGACUCGCGGCUUAUCCGCUUGUUUGUGGGGUAGUGGCUUACCAAGGCUUUGACGGGUAGCCGGCCUGAGAGGGUGACCGGCCACAUUGGGACUGAGAUACGGCCCAGACUCCUACGGGAGGCAGCAGUGGGGAAUAUUGCACAAUGGGCGGAAGCCUGAUGCAGCAACGCCGCGUGCGGGAUGACGGCCUUCGGGGUGUAAACCGCUUUCGCCUGUGACGAAGCGUGAGUGACGGUAAUGGGUAAAGAAGCACCGGCUAACUACGUG